rnacentral:rRNA from 1 species
CGGCGGACGGGUGAGUAACGCGUGGGUAACCUGCCUCAUACAGGGGGGUAACAGUUAGAAAUGACUGCUAAUACCGCAUAAGACACGGUACCGCAUGGUACAGUGGUAAAAACUCCGGUGGUAUGAGAUGGACCCGCGUCUGAUUAGGUAGUUGGUGGGGUAACGGCCUACCAAGCCGACGAUCAGUAGCCGACCUGAGAGGGUGACCGGCCACAUUGGGACUGAGACACGGCCCAG